UGCAGUGACCGAGGCCGUUAGAAAGGCAUUAGGGCUGACCAUGGAUCAGUGAGACACGGAGACACACAAUGGAGGUGCUGAACGCCACGUUGGUCUUGGCACUGUGAAGAACUAAAGGAUCUUGACAAGGGACACACGGAACAUUGAGUCCUGUGACAAGCGAAGGCCAGAAGGCUGAAGGGAGGGAACAGCCUGCAGCUCUCAGUGCUAAAGAUGGAAUCCAGGGUCUUGCCAUGCUGAACAAGCGCUCGACCCCUGAGCUACAUCCCCUCCCUGCAAAAGCUCUCUCCUUAAGAAGACAAGCUGGCUCCAUGGAGAACAUUCUGGACUCUGAGUGCUGAUUAAGUUGUGCUCACUUGGGCCUUUGUACCUUUGCUCCAGCUCCUCUCUGAGGUUGGAAUGUGCUCUCCCCUCCUCCCCUUAUCUCAAGACUCAGCUCAAAGGACACCUUCCCUCUCAGUGAGGCCUUCCUGCACAGUCCCUCUGCCCAGCCUAGCAGAACCACUUCCUCCCUCCACUGAGGGCCAUGGCUCUGGGGUAGCAUGGCUCUAUCUAUCUAUCUAUCUAUCUAUCUAUCUAUCUAUCUAUCUAUCUUUCUUUCUUUUGAGACAGUCUCGCUAUGUAGCCCAGACUGGCCUCAAACUCUCCAUCUUCCAGCCUCAGUCCCCUAAGGCAUGUGCCAUCAAGCUUGGCUUACAGUGGCUUGCUUCUAAGUUGUUCUCAACUUUUCAAAUCUUAGUUUUGUGAUUCCUGUGUCCAACACAGUUCCAGACUUACCUGCCCAUGUGGGUGCUCAGUGAGGGUAUGUGGGAGAAAUGAACGAUGAGAUAUCUCAUCCCUGAGGGUUCCUGCAUGGCCUCCACCAAAUCCCAUCCACCUAGUCUCUUGACCCUCAGCCCUGGGGUGGCGCCUGCUUGAGAAAAUCAUCCCCCACCCCAACCCCAUUAAGUUUCAGGGAAUUAUUGCAUUUUCAGCUACUGUCUCCACUCACCUUAUGUCACCUGAUGGCCAUCUGAGGUGACACAAGAUGCAUGGCUCAGGGUAGCCAAAAGCUAUUUUAGUGUGAAAGCACAGAACUGAGUUAGUUACAGGAGAGUGUUCAAACUGCUCCUGAAGAAAUAUCUGAAGCAUAGUUCAUCAACACUGACAACCUGGUGACUCCUGUCCUCUUUAGCUACAGGACACUCAGAGUUGCAAAAUUCUAACUGACCCCUUUAAAUGACACAAAUGUUCUCCCUACUUUGAGCCUCAGCCCCCAGGAUUCAUUGUGAGAUGGGGGGUCAAAGUCAAGGGUACAGGCUGUGGCCUCAGAAUAGGACAUGGAUAUGAAGUCCUCAGGAACAAAGUCAAGGACCUCAGCCCCUUCCAUCUGGUGGAAGUAAUGGCCAUAGCCAGGGCUUCUGGGCUGCGGGAGAGGUCCAGCAGGGCAGUGGGUGACGACAGAAGCUCAGCCUCCAGCCAGACUUGGGUCCUCUAGGUAUUCACCAAGUACUGGCUCUGGGGAUAUGCAAGUAUGUCGAUCCAAGGUGGAGGGAGGAGGAGUCGAUGUGCUAACGUAAAGCCCUCCAUACCUACAAGGCUGUCGUGUGCCAUACUGCACAAAUGACACGGGACAGUUACAUAAACUGGAGUAACAGUGGUCCAGUACUGCGGGAGGCGUGGCUCCAGGGGUAGAGCGCAUGCCUAGAAAGCUGGACGCCUUUAGUUCAAACCCCAGUACUGUAAGAAAAGAAAAAAAAAAAAAA